UGGGGAAUAUUGCACAAUGGGGGAAACCCUGAUGCAGCAACGCCGCGUGGAGGAUGACGCAUUUCGGUGUGUAAACUCCUUUUAUAAGGGAAGAUAAUGACGGUACCUUAUGAAUAAGCACCGGCUAACUCCGUGCCAGCAGCCGCGGUAAUACGGAGGGUGCAAGCGUUACUCGGAAUCACUGGGCGUAAAGGAUGCGUAGGCUGGAGAUCAAGUCAGGAGUGAAAUCCAACGGCUCAACCGUUGAACUGCUCCUGAAACUGGUCACCUAGAAUAUGGGAGAGGUAGAUGGAAUUGGUGGUGUAGGGGUAAAAUCCGUAGAUAUCACCAGGAAUACCGAUUGCGAAGGCGAUCUACUGGAACAUUAUUGACGCUGAGGCAUGAA
rnacentral:rRNA from 1 species